AGACCAGUUCUCGCAGCUGCUGCUGCCCACGGCUCUCCCUGCCGCCGCCACCCCGACCCCUUGAAACAUCAGAUGCCCCAGCCUUCAGUUCAGCACUCCAGCGGGUCAGAGGAACUCCAAGCCAGUCCCCAAACCCUGAAAAAAAGUUUCAUGAAGAAAUGGCGAGAGCAGCUCUGUGAUUACAGCCUUAAUUUUGCUCUGAUUCAACACUGCUCUCCCCUCCGGCAUGAUUAGUCAGAAAGCAAAAUCAAGAUAUAUGCUCGGCGUAUUUAUUUUUGAGAGCAGCAGCAGUGGUUUUGUCAGAGAAACAGACUCAAUACUACCUGCCUUAUGCCAGCGUGCCACAGGAAAACUUCUCAGAGUGGGAUUAUGGGAUCAAAAGUUCUUACCACGUCAAAUUCUAACCCCCAGACAGUUCAAAAGAGAAGACUGAGCCAGAGAGGAGGAAACACCUACCUCCAGUUAUUCAGCCACCUCGUAGCCUGGAACCCAGGUCUCCCAACUCCCAGCCACCGCGGUCCCCACGGCUUAGUCUAUUUAGGAUACGAAGCCUUUCCAGAUAUGGGGAACCCAUCAUUGAUGGAGGCCAUUCGGUUUGUUAUUCUUCUCCCAUUAAAUUAAAGAGACUAUAAAAGUUUUCUAAUAACCAAAUCCUUCAAAAUGAACUGUUUGAAGCCUCUGAAGUCUCACCCUGGGGCAAGACAUUAAAAAGGCUCAAAUAAAUCUCUGCAAAGCCUUUAUAGGAGCCUUAAAACCCAAUUCCACAACAAAAUGCUUGUUUUUAUUAUGAAUUGAGUUUUUAUUAUCAGCACGAAUGCUAACGGUGCUGCUGACAUGGUAAACAGAAAGCAUACGCGCCGUCAUAAAUAUUCACACACCUUUGGCAGAAGUAAUUGUUACCUAGGGCAACAGUUCUGGCCAGUUUCUGAUGGGCACUCCCAGAGAUGUGGGGAAUUCAAAACGUGAGGCGAGCCCUCCACCCUGGCCCCACCACCCACACACAGGAAAAGGCUGGGGCGGGGGCUCCACCUCUGAAGGCCUGGGUGGCCUGUGGGAACACGAAAAGCCCGGGCCGGAAGGAUCCCGUCUGCUUGGGACCGGUGUGCAGAUGGGAGGCAGGAUGGGAAGAUUGAGAUCAUCAGAUGCCACAGGCUGAACCAGCCUGCUUCUUUUUUGUGUUGAUUGAGGUAAAACCCACAUGCCAUAAAAUUCACCAUUGUGAAGUGUAUCGUUCAAUGGCAUUUUGUACAUCUACAAUAUUGUACAACCAUCACCUCUAUCUAGUUCCAGAACCUUUUCAUCACCUAACACAGAAACCCUGUACCCAUUAUGCAGUCACUGCCCCGCCCCAUCCUCCCCUUUCCGCUGCCCUUGGCAACAACUCAUCCACUUUCUGUCCUCAUGGACUUGACCAUUCUCAACAUCUCAUAUUUAUGGAAUAUACAAUAUGUGACCUUUUGUGUCUGGCUUUGUUCACUUAAUUUUUUCAAGGUCCCUCCAUGUUGAAGCCUGUAUGGGUACUUCCCUCUUUUUCAUGGUUGAGUAAUAUUCCAUGGCAUGAAUAUGACACAUUUGGUUUAUCCAUUCAUCAGCUGAUGGACAUUUGCAUUGUUUCUACCUUUUCACAUUUGUGAGUGGUACUUAAGUGGACAUGUGUACACAUGUUUUAAAUAUCUGUUUUUAAUUCUUUUGGACAUAUUCCUAGGAGUAGAAUCGCUGGGUCAUAGAGUAGCUCUGUGUUUAUCUGUUUGAGGAACUGCUAAACUAUUUCCCACACAGGCUGCAUCAUUUUACAUCUCAACCAGCGAUGUACAAAGGUUCCAGUUUCUCUAAAAUCUUGCUAACACUUGCUAUUUUCCAUUCUUAUUAUUAUUUCUCAUUGUGGUUUUGAUUUGAGUUUCCUUAACAACUGAAGAUG